rnacentral:rRNA from 1 species
AUGCCUUCCUUGAGCGCGCCGGCCUUGUACCCGCGCCGGUUGUCCCGGAUCUCGUACUUGAUGUUUACACCCUUGUUCGCCCACCGCUGGCACUCCACCUGCACCAGCUCCUGCACCGUGAUCACGAAAUGGAAACAUCAGGACCCGUGCAUAUAUAUGCAUGCAGUUCACGUUAAUGGUCGUAUAGCAAUUGUAAUAAAAGAAUUAAAGAAACAACAAUGGGUGAGCAUGUGCAUGUUAUGCGUGGUAUUAAUUCAACAAACAACUGUACGUGUACUGAAAUGCCAAAGUGCGUGUAUACAUGCUUCUGCUUCUUUUUCUGAAGAAGAAACCACGCUAAAAGGAAAGUCUGAAGUACCUCAAUCUUAUGGAUACGUAAACCUUCUGUAG